CAAUAGCGUAUAUUUAAGUUGUUGCAGUUAAAAAGCUCGUAGUUGGAUUUCGGAUGGGACUUGCCGGUCCGUCGUUUCGAUGUGCACUGGCCAGUCCUAUCUUGUUGUCGGGGACUAGCUCCUGGGCUUCACUGUCCGGGACUAGGAGCUGACGAGGUUACUUUGAGUAAAUUAGAGUGUUCAAAGCAAGCCUACGCUCUGAAUACAUUAGCAUGGAAUAACACGAUAGGACUCUGGCUUAUCUUGUUGGUCUGUGAGACCAGAGUAAUGAUUAAGAGGGACAGUCGGGGGCAUUCGUAUUUCACUGUCAGAGGUGAAAUUCUUGGAUUUAUGAAAGACGAACUUCUGCGAAAGCAUUUGUCAAGGAUGUUUUCAUUAA
rnacentral:rRNA from 1 species